UUCUCUCCCAAGUAAAGAAGAAGCAAUACAACCUGUCCCUAGCCUCACUAAGGUCCCAGGUAAAGAAGGGCAGGGCAGGGCAAGGCAUACUAAAGGGUGGGAGUUUGAAGCCUACUACUCUAGGAAGAGCAGAAGCAGCUUCAGGAGACCCUGGACUCUGUUGACUUUGCCCGUGGACUUUGAUUUGUACUCUGUUGGAUUGAUUGGAUUUGACUCGGACUGAACCUGGUUUGGAGAAUUUCUUCCUGUAAGACUUUGCUAUUAUACUUCUGCCUCUGCCUGUUUUACGCUCCGUCUGGCUAGCCUGACAGAUUUAUGACAGCCCGGUGGAGAAGAGAAGGACCCUUGGGCAAGAUGUCCUCAAUGGACCUCCCUGGAAUUGGCAUAUCUCCUCACCACUAUCACCUCUGCACAUUAGAUAUCCCUCUCCCACUAGACCCGUUUGCAGCACUGCUCAGAGGGAGAGGGCAAGGUGCGUGGAAGUUCCUUCUCGUUACUGACUUGGAGGGGGCAGGUAAAUACAUUGACAGCAGGACUGCUGCUUGCAUUUGUGGGUGAGGCAGUGGGCCUCUUUCUGAGAUU